rnacentral:lncRNA from 1 species
CAACAAAUGGGUUUAGUUGCACAGUGCCCAGCAUGGGCUGCUGUCCGGCAACUAAAGUCGUGGUUGAGAGUAUGGAGAAGGGAUACUGUUUUCCUUCCAUUUCCGGUAGUUGCUCACUACCAUGACCCUGUUGUUGUGAUAGCUCUUUGCUGUCCUUUCUACCUCACCUUCACCCUAUCCUCAGCUAUAAUACCGUUUAGCUUUGCAGAUUAGGAGCUGGGUGAAUAUAAUGGUUCGAGUGAAUGGAUGAAUGAGAAUAGUCAUUGUAGGCACUGCUGAGGCUUUUUCAUACAUCCCCACAUUUAAUGUUUACAGUCUAGCCCCUCCAUUUACCUAAUGGGUGACUGAUACUCAGAGAGGUUAAGUAACUUGACCAAGGUCACACAGCCAGUAGGAGGUGGAGAUUGGGAUUUGAACCCAGGAAUCCUGUUUGACGAUAGCUCCUUGACCCCUAGGUGGGCUCCUGCAUUUGUACUCAGGGGCAAGGCAUCAGUAGUUGGCAGAGAUCUUAGCUUGAUGCCCAAGGCCUUGCUGAGUAGAGAAGGGAGUUCAAGAGAGGCUUGGAGAUGGUCCCUUUUUGGAGCAACCUCUGACUGCAGGGAGGUCAGUUGAGACCCUGGACAGGCAUCCAAGCAUUUGGAGGAGGGUUGAUGCUGGAGCAGGAGCAGCAUCUUCACAGGCUGUGGUCACUCCUGAGCUGGGGGAAGCCACCCUGCCUGUCUCCUCUCCCUACCCCAUCCCCGCCUUAGUUGUCAGUGAAUGCGGUCUUUUCUGAGCUAAUUAGAAAUCUCAAUAGGAUCGAGAAUAGCUGCCGAAGACAAACGCCCCUUUUAAGUGCUAUCAGUGCAUGGGAGAGGGGGCUUGCAGAACUGUUCUUAGAGCUUGGGUGCCUGAUGUGUGCCAGUUGCUGCAUGACGUCUGCCGAGCCCCAGGUGCACCCAUGGGGUCAUGCAUGUACACACACUGGUGUUCCCACACCCCCCUCUUCCUGCACUGCCAUGCCCCACCGCCCUUCCCCCACCCACUGCUGAAGUCUUAGCUUUCAAGUGCAGGUGUUGAGGUUAAUAACAAGAAGUAUCCCAGUUGGCCAUUUGCAUAUGAGACUUCUCACUGGGUUCUAAAGGUGGGAAGGAAGGGAUUUAAAAAGAUCACGGGCGUGAAAGCUGGAAACAGUGGCGUCCAUUGCUUGGGGCAAGGAUUGACUAGAGGUGAUUUUAUGUGCUGACCGCUCCUGUAGAAAGAGAAGCUUAGGCAGAUGUCAUGCCCUGCCUGUGCCCACCCAACCUUUCUCCCCCUGGCUGGAGCACUCACUCCAAGCCAAUAGCCCAGCUUCCCUGGAUCCCUCAGCUCCAAAGGGUUGCCUCCUACUCCACUUGCUGCAUAGAGGGGUUUUCUGGAACAGAGAAUGUGCUGGACCUAGAGCCCCUCGUCCUGGGGCUCAAGGACCCAGCUCAUGUGACCUUCAGCAGGUCUCUCCUGCUGCUGCCCCAGGACUGGCCACACACCAGGGCUCUGUCCCCCGACUUCCUCACUAGACCCUCAGGCCAUCUGGUCGUGAGGUUUUUACUGCUAACGGGACAGAGUAACGCACAUAACCCAUGGGGGAGUUGCAGCGGUCUAAUUGAAGUUCAGAGUGAUGUUCACUGGUCUGUAAUUCCUGACUCCCUUCCUGAGAGAGUCCUGGGAACUGAGCUUGGCUUUCUGCCUGCUGCUUGUCUCUGAUUAUGGAGACCAGCCAGCACCCCCCAACCCAGCCCCCCACUCACUGCCCUGCUGCAUCCAGCCCCUGGGUCUUCCACCUCCUGGCACGCUCUAGCCUAGGCCUGAAGUAGCAGGGCCAGACGCUAGGUGUCGCCGUCCUGGACCUGCCUCCAUCCCCGGAGGUCUUGGCUCAUGGGCUUUCUUGAUCUCUGAGUGUCUUUUUUAAUCCCUAUUGCCCAGCAACGGCUUCCUUGGUUAGAGACAGUCUGGCAAGUUUCCUCUGGUUCAAACUUACGUUUGAAGUUUUUCUACAACCAGAAGGUGAUUCUCUGGCUUCUGAGCUUCACCCAACCCUCUCUGAGCCCCAACAUGGGGGAACACUGGUCUCUUCUUUCUGUGACUGGUCAUCUUUUACAGCUUUGAUUCAUGCUCUUAGUUUCCAGUUUUAUAUGUGCUUAAGCAUUAUAAGACACCUCAGUAUUUUUAGGAAAUAAGUGGGGACAUAAAUAUAAACAACCCGGAAAUCACUGCCCCUAGAAUUCACAGAGUGGAAGAACCAAGCUUUUUAGGGCUGAUGUGGCGUGGGCUGGGAGACUUCUCUUUUGAGAGGCUGAUACUGGUCUUUGAAUGAACUCUUUACCCCACCAAAAGUAGAAAAAGGAUUCCAGUGACUUCAGAAAUUUUUGUUGUUGUUUUGAGAAUGUUGGCACCACUGGGAAUAAUGAGAGACGCCUGGCCUAUUCAAAAGUGGCAUCAGAAACCUCAGUGUUGGAAAUGCAGCCUUUGGUUGUCCAUCCCCGCAGCUAGAGCAUGAGCCCCCCAAGGCCAGACUCGAGGGCUCAGCGCUUCAGUUGAGUAGUCCUGAUUGAACUAGGCUCAUGGGCACAGAGCACUGGACUGGGGACCAUAGUGGAUGCCAAGGUGAAAGCUGUUUGGGAAGGCAGAAUGAAUGUAUCAUCUUUCACUCGGCAAUUUUUCAAAAUUCAGCCACAGGUCUUCCUGGACCCCUAGCCAGGUUUUGAUUUUCUAGGCUGGGAUGAAAGAUGAAAGAGACGUUUAUUUGGUGGGAGGGGGAUUGGGACAUUGAGCUGCUUUUAAAUGAUGUUAAGAAUCCCAUUCUUCUCCCUGCUUUCCCACUUCUGCCCUGGUGUUGACUUUGAAAAACCUUCCAAGACAGGCUGAGGCUAAGGAGAUGGGGGAGCUUUCCUGAGCAGCUUUCUGAGGUCCGUUUUUUUCUUUUGAAAUAGACUGGAAAUCUAUCUCGGCUCUGAAUCAUCCUUCGAUUCUCAUCGCGGAGGGGCAGAGAGGAGGGUGCACGGGCAGCCCAGCUCAUGUGCCUUUGUGGCCAUCCCUCCUCCUGGCCAAGAGAUAACCGGUUGUUUUUGAAAGUCCUGUGUUUAUCGCGAGAGAGCAGUGUGGUCAGAGAGGCGGUGAGGAAAGAGCCGGCAGCCCUUCUGUGAUGGAUGGGUAGCCGACUUUUCUUGUGAAGCAAAGGCAGCCCACAAGUUUGUCUCUUUCAAGAGAAGAAAUUUAAAGCAAAGCUCCAGAGAGAGAAGUUUUUUCAGUCUGGUCCUUCAUGUAGGCUUAACAAUUCUAGGAGGGCCCUGAAAAUGGCAGAGACCUCAAUUCUCCCCUCCCUCCCUGCCCCUUUAUGGGCUCCCUAACUAGAGAGGUUUGCAAAGCUUAAGGGGAUUAAUGCUCUUUAAACCUCUGCACUCCUUCCUGCUCCUCAUGGGAUCCGGGUGCUAAUAAAGAUGUACUAGCUUGGAAAGGCUGGUAAACGCUGCUUUGUUGCCACGGCAACAGGCGAAACAAGAACGACACCAAGUAUUGCUAAGAAGAGUCCUUAGGAUCAAGAGUUUGGGGCGGGGGAGGGGGGGGAUGGUUCUUAAAAAUGCAGAGAGUCUUGGCAAGGUAAUUAGACUUGGUGCUCUCAAAGUAAAUUCAUAGUUUUAUGGAGCAUUACUAGAGAGCCUUGUUACUUGCAAAGUCACCCUCCAUCAAGUAGAAGGAACAGCUGAGAGCCGCCAGCAUCUGCCGCCAGUUGCUCCAGUGAGGCUGGGGUGUUGCGUCCUGAGACACCAUCCCCCCUCUCCUCCUCAGCAAGUAGUCAAUGUGUGCACACGCGCUUGUUUGGGAAGCGUUAAAAAGCUCUAUUUCCUGCCUCCUUGGUGUUGAAAGAUAUGAGGGAAUGUUCUACACCUGCCUUCUAUCCGGGAUGAUGUUAUUGUUUUUAACAAGGAUGAUAAGACAGUAGCUAAGCACUCCGUAAGCCUGUGUACUGGGCUGAGCAAUUCUUUUGCUUUAUCUCAUUUCACCUUCAGGCUGACCCUGUGUGGUGUAGCUGUUAUUAUGCCUGUUUUUUCUGAUGAAGAAACAGAAGGGUUAAGGAACUUGCCCAUGGACACACAGCCAAUGACAGAGCUAGGGUCUGAACAGGUGUGGCUAUAAAGCCUGGGCUUUGGCCCGUGGGCCAUAUCUUUACAGACUCACAACCAUCCCUUCCUGCUGCUCGAAUUUUCAUUCUUGAGGCAUGAGCAGCGCCUGCAGCCCCUGCUGGGAUGUUUUGCUCAAACCUGCUGAGACUUCCAAGGGAGCCUGGGACUCUGCUCUCCUACUCCUUUCCUCCCUUGUGUUUGGGCACUCGGCUGAGCUCCUUGGAAAGAUUUCUGCUUCCUGUGGGUGAGAAGUAGGGCAGUGUGAGGAGGCAGGGCUGCUAGGCUAAGAUCCCAGGCUGCCCCACUGACCCAUGUCCCUUCCUGGGUAAUGGUGCCCAGUUGCUCAAGCCAUACCUGAGGCUUCAGCCCGGGCCCCAUCUCCCACACAUCUAGCCAGCGUCCGCACCGCCAGCUCUGGGUCGCCCUGUCCUCUGCACCCACCGCCAUGCUCUGUUUCAGACACCUAUCCCAUCUGUCCCUGGCAGAGCAGCAACUCUCCGGGGACUCCUGCCUCCAGGCCUGUGACCCAUUUAGAGGGAUCUUUCUGAAAUGUGAUUCUGGUCGUGCCAAGUUUAGUGGCUGCCUGCUCAGGCGCCUCAGUGUGGCCUCCAGGGUAGGCGUGAUGGAGCCUACCUCUCCAUUCCCUGUCCGCUGGGGUUCCCUGCUCAGCGCAGCAGGGACCCCAGCAGCUCCUCAACCAGCCAGGUUCCCUGUCAACUUUUGCACAUAUUAACCCCUACCCACCUUUCCUUUGAUAAACUCCUGAGGGUCCUCAGAUGGGUGCCCCUUCCUCCCUCCUGAACCCCCUGAGCAUGCCUCCAUCAUUAUUUCCCUACACUGACUCCCCCAGUUACUAUGAGGAUCUUAACUGCAGGAGACCAUAUUCUGUUCCUCUUGGUGUCCCCAGUACCUGGGACAUAAUAGGUACUUGGUAUAUGCUUAUUAACCAGAAGAGUGAUGGUGUUUAUCCUCACCAGGUUGCUAUGGCAACAGAUGCUGCAGCCCCUCGAGGCCAAGUGACUUGAGACCUUGGAGGUCCAAAGGUCACACAACUACCUUCCUGGGGCCCCACCUGGCAUCCUCCUCUCCCUACAGCCAGGACAGGCUGCCCAGCCUCAGAACCACCACUUGUUGUGACUAUUAAACCCCAUGUCCCAAUGAUGCCUGGAGACCAUGCCUCAGGCACUUUACACUGUUAGUGGUAAUGGUGACACAUUAUCUGAGUUUUGUUGCUUGUAAAUUUCUUUUAUGCUGAUAAGCUUGGAACUGGAUUGGAAUUGAGUGGGGGACAUUGUCCAGUGUCCAUCAAGAAUGUAAUGGUAAACAUUUAAUGUUUUUUUCUCCUUCUUCCCCACAGUAUCAGUUUUCUUAUUGAAUUUGGGAAGCAAUAGCAAUUGAUUAAGUUGCAGUGGAGCUUGCCCUAAAAGGAAAUGAUUGAUAAUCCGUUUAGGUCUGGCUUGCUCGCUUUUCCCCUCCUGAUUUCCUUGGCCACUUUUUCAAUUACCAACUGUAUUUAGCUUGGUUUGCUUGUUGUAACUCAUUUCCCCUUCCUCCAGGAUCUGCAGGGAAGUUGUAAUGUAAUGUUAGAUCUUUGGGGUGGGAGGGAGGUCAGGGCGUCCAGUGACAUCACAGCCUCCUGUCACUGGACUCAGAGCCCAUGUGGGCUCCUGAGGCAAGCUCAUAGGAUUGUUUUGCAAGUGGACUGAUUGGCUGGUUGGGUCUUUGCCAUUAAGUGAGUUUAUGAGGCCCUCACUACUGGGAGAGAGGCUUUGCAGAGGCUUGCGGCACUAUGACGAGGGUCACACCUGAUGUUCAGAGCUUUUUGUUUCUUUAGCUAAUAUCUUUAAGGUAAAACCAUCUACAAAGUACUUUUACCCACUCAGUGACAGCUUGAGAUCCUCCCAACAGUACUAAUAAAAGAAAGGAGAAAUUGAAUUAGCAGCUAUGUUUACCCUCCCAAAUUAAUAUAUGUAUAAUGUCUGGCCUUAUUUGGUGUUUAGUAAUGCAUGCUGUCAUGGCCACCUUCUCAGUGGAAGCACCGGGUGUGGGAUCUCCCUGUUUCACAGGUGGAUUGGCUGAGGCCUGAAAUGGAGAAGGGACUUGUCCAAGAUGGUUCAGGGCAUGGAGUAUGGAGCCCACUGUUGGGAUCGCCAAGAUGCCCGAUAAUAGCGUUCCUCAUCCCUGCCUGAGGAGUGAACAGACUGAGGGGUAAGCCAAAGGCAUGGCAGAUGGUACACGGAAAUAUCACCUUCUUAAGAAACGUUAACGAUGAGGGGCAGGCCGCCUGCAUGAGAAUUCCUCAGUCAUAGGCAACCAGAUGGGAGGUGGGCUGACUUACAUGGGACAGCCAGGGCAGCAUCUUGCUACCUCUUUUUACGCAAGAUGAGUCCAGGAAUAUUCCACACAAAAAAAGCACAGGAGUCACUCAGGACCUGGAGGCUUUUCCCAAGACAUCAUGAUGGAGUCUUCAGGGUCUGCCCCAGGGGCCAAAGCCCCCUUUCCCGCUCCUGCCAGACUCUCAUGCAUAACAAGUUUGGAAUGAAUUUGGCAAUGCCAUCACCACCCAGCUCACUUCUCAGUUACUUUCUGUUUGCUGUGUACUCUGGAAGGUGUGGAUUACCCAGGGAGAACCCUGCCUUGAAGGGUGUGUGGCCAGGGACAGGUUCUCUGGGCUGUUGGCUGGUACCCCACAGCCCUGGGCUGGGGUGUUCCCCCUUGUGCCCAUGCCAAGGCAAGGCUUUCUGCGUGGAAGUCUGGCAGGUGUACAUUCGCUCCCCAGUGGGAAUGGGGAGCAGAGGUUUCGUUGAGGCAUCUCUUGGGAGUGCACAGUCCCUAAUUUCUGAAAUACCAUUGAUGAGAAGCAGCCCCAGUUUGGGUCUGAGUUAAUGGGUUAAAAGAGCAGAACUGUUUUCUUGGGCGCUGAAUAUUUCUUCUAGAUGUUCAGGUCCAUAACCAAGGCAGCUAAGUCAGCGAAUUGUCAGCAUUCCAGAAAGAAGCGUCAUCUCCUUGGGUGCUGAGGACCUCCGGGGCUGCAGCUGACUCUGCCCUCACACACCCUCCUUCUUGGCUUUCAUGAUUUAUUUUGUCAAGAAGAAUGAGGGAGUUAGGAGUGGCAUCUCUCAUAACAGCCUCCUCCCAUCUUCUGAGAGUGCUCAAGACGGAGCUUGCCUGCUGCUGGCGUGGGGAGCUGACAAAAUAUUUAAAUAAAGGCUCUGGGGGAAAAGGACAUGCUUAGAUUACAAAGAGAAAUUCCACGCCGUUAUGGUCUCAGCGUAUUAGGCGCCUCUGUAAUUGCACCUAUUCAGCACUGCCAUUUCUAGUCACCACGCAGCCAUCCGAGGGAAGACGGAUGCUCUAAAAAUGGCCCCGAGAACAGUCUUUUUAAAAAGGCAGUUAACGAUCUGGAGCUAUAAAUAGUGUCUUUCCAACAAAUAACAAAGAGGGUCGGUUCCCCUUUCGCCUCUGCUGUUGAGGCCCCGCAUCCUGGAGUAAGUGAGUGGGGUCAGGAGGGUUUGCACCUCCCCUAGAGUUUGAGUUCUUGGAGGCCUGAUGACACCCAGCGUGUUGCCUAGAGGUGGGGAUGAGACCCUGGCUGGCUGAACUGCCGCUCACCGUGUGUUUUUGGAGACACAUCCCUCCUGGUGGCACAACAGAAAACCACGACUCUAAGUCACUUGCCCCAGCCCUCUGACCUCUCUUCAGCCCAGACCAGCCCUUCUGCCAGUUAUAAAGCACCAGCCCUGCCAAGAGCAAAGAGAGGCUUGCUGGAUCCCGCUGUCUCUUCAUGGAGUUCCUGAAUCACAGAACCUCCCAGUUUGUCUGUUUGCCUCCCAUGUAUCAAGAACUCAGAGGUUCAGCCAAGCGCGGUGGCUCACGCCUGUAAUUCCAGCACUUUGGGAGGCCAAGGCGGGCAGAUCACCUGAGGUCAGGAGUUCGAGACCAGCCUGGCCAACAUGGUGGAACCCCAUCUCUACUAAAAAUACAAAAAAAACAGCGAGGUGUGGUGGCGGGAGCCUGUAACCCCACUACUCGGGAGGCUGAGGCGGGAGAAUCACUUGAACCCAGGAGGCGGAGGUUGCAGUGAGCCGAGAUGGCACCACUGCACUCCAGCCUGGAUGACAAGAGCGAGACUCCAUCUAAAAAAAAAGAAAGAAAGAAAUCAGAAGUUCUUUGACAUCAUUUUAAUUCAUACCUUCUCCAAAUCAGAACCACAAAAGCAGCAUUACCUACACCCAGAAUAGACACAGACAUCAACAGAAGCACAAAGUGAGAUGGAACCCUGUCUCCCAACCUGAGAGGGAGAGUUUGGGCUAAAACACGCCCAUGUGAGGACAGCAUUUGGAAAGUUAAUGCUAAGGAAAUAAGAAGGAUGGGAGUAAAAAGAGGACAAGCCCCGAUGUCCUGUUUAUCAGCUCCCCCUCUCUCCUCUCCUGUCUCAUCCGCUCCCGCCUUGAGGAUAGCGUGGUUUCCCUGGACUCCUUUCCAGACCAGCUGCAGCCCCAUUGGCAAUACCAACUUCCCUAGCUGGGGUUGGCUGGACGGUGUGGUUCUUGGCAGAAGAUGACACAUGGGUAGCAGAGUGACUUUGGCUCCUGCAUCGAGUGCUUGUCUCAGCCCCAUCCAUAGCCAUAUAGAAUCCUAGUGGUGAACAUGCAACACCCCUGAGAGCCACUGACCAGGCAGGCACUGGGGUGAGGGAAAGUGAGGGGACUGUGUGGGACCAGCUGUGCUGACGACAGCCUGCCACCCAAGGGAUGCCUGUCCCUGCACCCUGGCUUUGUUCCUGCACCUGGUCCCCAGGAAGCCAAAUCCAGUGCAUUUUUCCAGCUUCUGCUCAGAGACAGCCAGUGUCUGCAGAAGGGCCAAGGCCACUGGACGUCUGGAGAGAGUCUGGCCACAAUGGCCAAGUGGUGGACGUCUCCACAGGCUGCCCCGUGCCCCUGCAGAGGCAGGGCUUCAUGAAGCAGGAGCAGGCAGCUCAGACCUGGGCCGGGCCACCUGUGCAGGUAACUCCUUCACUGCUAUUGGUCGGUGGAAUUGUAAGAUCAGUUCUUCAGCAGGAUGCUGCGGGUUUUCUGAGGCCCGUGGCCAUCUGGAUUUGUGCUCCGAACAUAUUAUACCAUGUUAACAGCUUUUAAAGUAGAAACACAUGUGAUUCUGGAAGGCUGGGAUGGGGCAAUGGAGGAGACUGUUUAAAAUUGCUGUUUGGUAUCUCUCGUAGUACAGUAGCAAAGGUAAAAACCUAUUAUGGUCCACGGAAGCAGUUCAUUGCGUAAUGACAUCUUCAUAACUUGCCCUGCUAGCUGGCUUUUCUCACAGUCUCUGCGGGGAAGUUUUGUUCUUUUAAAAUAUUUUCUGGGGUGGUGGAGGGGGAGAGUUUGGAGGCGCUAAGCCCCUCCACUGAAACUCCUGGGAUGGGGGACUUGCAGUAACCCGUGCCCCUCCGAGGAGCCCUGGAGCGGGGUUGGUGGGGACACUUCCACCCACUUCCAUGGGGAUUUACAAGGUCUGCUUCAUGGACAUUUUCAAAACUCUUCUCUCUGCUACUUCCUCCCACCACCCCCAGAUCACCACGUUUUGGGAGAAGAGUGGUUGGGAAACAAAGACUCAGAUAUCAGCCUGCCUUUUAGAAAUCCCAGAUUUUAACCACCUACCAGCUGAGCAACCUUAGGCCAGUUAUAUAAUCCUCAGAGCCUCUGACUCCUUAUCUGCAAGAUGGGGUAACAGUAACACAUGCCUGCUAUUAUUUAUUACUGAUGUUGCUGUUUCUGAGCAGUAUAAUAAUGCUGCUAUUAUUAACAAUUACUGCCGGUAUGGAGAGGAGUCAUUAGGGCAAUGCCUGUACGGUUCCUCGCAGCUCAGUAAAGGCGGUGGUUGCCACCAGCACAAGCAUGCCUUGCAGGUUGGUUUUGGUUAUUUAAUCUUUGCCAAGUAAUGCAUUGUGGGUUUCUGUUCUGUGAGCAUCCCAGGAAAGGAGGCAAGCCAGUUUCGCCCCAGUGGAACUGGGGCAGGAAUAGAGGUGGAAAGAUGGAAAGCCCACCAUCCUCCCAGCUCCAAAGGAGCUGCUCCCUGCUUCAGGGGAAAUGGUGACUUUCCAGAGCCCAUCUAGCUGAUGAAGCAAAUGGCGGUGAGGUCGGUGCCCUCUGCACAGGCUGAUGUGCACAUUUAGGGAGUCAAGUAUGGAAACCUCUUGUUCUUGCACUGUCUGUUCUUGAGCAAUCAUGAAGAGACCUCACAAUCCAGAAGAAACCAAGCGAAGUGAUGAAACCACAGCCCUGAGAUGGAGAGAUGGCGGUGUGGGUGGGCCUGGGAGCUUUGCACAGGGUUCUGUCUAGGUGGAGGGUGGGAACAUUUGAUAUUUUUGCCCACCUGCCUGGAACACACUGUAUGUGCAGUUGCGUCACCCAUGUCUCAGUCCCUGAGGCCUGUCAGCCCCAAGCAGGCCCCAGAUAUCACAAAAAUCCCCGCUCUUGCUCUCCCGUCUUGCUGUUUUCUGACCCCAGCAUAUCCAUUUCUGUGCGGUUUAUUCUGAGAAAUCCUGUGUGAAUUGUGCUUGAACUAGCGGGUCAGAGACUGUCUCCCACCUCCACCCCCACCUGACCUUUCAUCCAGACUGCAAACAGGAAGCAAUAAGAAUUGUUUGCCCAGUUGCUGCUUUGAUCUUCUGGGCCCCUUUUGGGGUAGGAGGCUGUGCUAAUGAGGAAACAUGGGCCAGAAGUCCACAGGCAGGGGAGCUGUGAGGACGACAGAAAGGUAGGAAACCCGCAGCCAGGUGCUCCAAGAAAUGGUAGCGUGUGCCCAAGAGCAGUCUCUGCCGCCCCUCUUGAAGCAGCACCCCUUUAUCCAGAGGGGAUCGGCUGCAUGUUUAAUGAGAACUUUAGAGGCCUGGAAGGUGCCUACCUAAGCAAUAGCAGGUGGCAGUGGCCCCAUUUUAAAGAUGAGGAAACUGGCACCCAGAGAGGAUUGGUUCAGACGUUAUUCGAAUUUGCAGCUUUGGAGCCCAACAGGCCUGGAUUCAAAUUCCGGUUCUUUCUACUUAUUAUAUAUAUAAGCUACUUAACCUCUCUGACCCUCUCUGAUUUUCCUCAUCUGUAAAACAGGGAUAAGAACACUUCUUCAGAUGUGAUUGCUAUAGAUUAAAUGAGGGAACAUAUAUAAAGAGCCUGAUAUAUAGAAGUGUCCAAUAAAUAGCAGCUGUUGUUUUCCAUUUAUCUAUCCAUCUGCCCGUUCAUCCAUCCAUCCCCAUCCAUCUGCCCAUCCAUCCAUCCUUAUAUCCCUUCACCCAUCCGCACAUCCAGUAAACAGUGAUUGGUAAGCCAAGUGCUGUGGCAUCUCAAGAUGUUCAGAAAUGGAUCCUGGCCAAGAAGCUUAUGUGUCUAGAGACAUUUCUAAGACCGUACUUCCCAGGCCUCUUCUCAUGGUGCUUUCAUACACAGAGGAAGCAUUCUUCUCUUAGCAAAGGCAUUGCCUGCUGGUCCCAAGCAACUCCUACCCUGGGCACUGGUGUUGCCUGUGGCCUGAAACCAGGGAUCUCCCUCUCCUAGGCGACUGGAAGUGCAGAGCUGCGUAACACAGCCCUUCUUAGAUCUGUGCUGUCGUAGCACGCGACAGUGGGUCCCAGCUCUCCAGCAGAAUGCACCCACUGCUGCACAUGCUGUUGGCCAGCUUUCUGGAGGGUGGAGGAGAGCCAUCUUUUAAAAAUACUAUGUUGGGAAAAAAAAUACUUCUGUUUUCAUUUCACCAACAUAAAAAAAUGUAGUCACUGCAAACACUGACAGGCAAACUGGUGGCUAACAAAUCAGAUCCUCAGGGACUGCACGAAUGGAGAGAUAAGUCUUGGUGUGUGAAUUGCACACGGACUAUUUUUUUUUCCUUUUUUAAAAAUGCGUACAGGCCGGGUGCGAUGGCUCAUGCCUGUAAUCCCAGCACUUUGGAAUGCCGAGGCAGGCGGAUCACCUGAGGUCAGGAGUUCGAGACCAGCCUGACCAACAUGACGAAACCCUGUCUCUACUAAAAAUACAAAAGUUAGCCAGGUGUGGUGGCGCAUGCCUGUAAUCCCAGCUACUCAGGAGGCUGAGACAGGAGAAUCGCUUGAAUCCAGGAGGUGGAGAAUGCAGUGAGCAGAGAUCGCACCACUGCACGCCAGCCUGGGUGACAGAGCAAAACUUCGUCUCCAAAA